AUGCUGUGGGUCCCAGCACUCCUUCUGAUUUUCCUGGCUCCUGUCACACAGGUAUCUUCCAACAUGGAAGAGGACAAGUUGUCAGUCAUGAGGGCGACUGGGUCAUCUGUUGUAAUCGAUUGUGAUCUUACACAAAACUAUAUCCACUGGUACAAAUUCCAGGAGGAAACUGUACCCCGACGCCUUCUCUACUAUGAUGUCUACUACUCAAAGGUUGUAUUGGACUCAGGAAUCAGUGAAGGGAAAUACCACGUUUACAAAGGCACAGGGAAGAGCUACACGCUCGUAAUCUCAAACUUGCAAGAAAGUGAUUCUGGCACGUACUACUGUGCUGUCUGGGAGAAGCACAUUGGUUUAGACUUCCUUUACACUGCACUGGAAAUUUUGCUUGUGGCUGCCAAAACAGCCCUGAUACACAGAUAG